UCAGUAACGGCGAGUGAAGCGGCAACAGCUCAAAUUUGAAAUCUGGCGCCUUGUGCGCCCGAGUUGUAAUUUGUAGAGGAUGUUUCGGGUGCGGCACCGAUCUAAGUUCCUUGGAACAGGGCGUCAUAGAGGGUGAGAAUCCCGUAUGUGACCGGUCGCCUAUCCCAUGUGAAACUCCUUCGACGAGUCGAGUUGUUUGGGAAUGCAGCUCAAAAUGGGUGGUAUAUUUCAUCUAAAGCUAAAUAUUGGCCAGAGACCGAUAGCGCACAAGUAGAGUGAUCGAAAGAUGAAAAGCACUUUGGAAAGAGAGUUAAAAAGUACGUGAAAUUGUUGAAAGGGAAGCGCUUGCGACCAGACUCGCCCGGGGGUGAUCAACCGUCCUUUUGGGCGGUGCACUUUCCCUCGGGCGGGCCAGCAUCGGUUCGGGCGGCUGGAUAAAGGCUUCGGGAAUGUAGCUCCUCUCGGGGAGUGUUAUAGCCCGGGGUGCAAUGCAGCCAGUCUGGACCGAGGACCGCGCUUUUGCUAGGAUGCUGGCGUAAUGGUCGUCAGCGACCCGUCUUGAAACACGGACCAAGGAGUUAACCACCGGUGCGAGUGUUUGGGUGUCAAACCCGUACGCGUAAUGAAAGUGAACGGAGGUGAGAACCCCUUUCGGGGCGCAUCAUCGACCGAUCCUGAUGUCUUCGGAUGGAUUUGAGUAAGAGCACCGUUGGUUUGACCCGAAAGAUGGUGAUCUUUACGCGGAUAGGGUGAAGCCAGAGGAAACUCUGGUGGAGGCUCGCAGCGGUUCU
rnacentral:rRNA from 1 species